rnacentral:misc_RNA from 1 species
UCCUGUAGUGUUAUUACCAC